UACGGGGGGAGCAAGCGUUGUUCGGAUUUACUGGGCGUAAAGGGCGCGUAGGCGGCCACCGCAAGUCGACUGUGAAAUCUCCGGGCUUACCCGGAAAGGUCAGCCGAUACUGCGGGGCUAGAGUGCAGAAGGGGCAACUGGAAUUCUCGGUGUAGCGGUGAAAUGCGUAGAUAUCGAGAGGAACACCUGCGGCGAAGGCGGGUUGCUGGGCUGACACUGACGCUGAGGCGCGAAAGCUAGGGUAGCAAACGGG
rnacentral:rRNA from 1 species